rnacentral:rRNA from 1 species
UUUAGAGGAACCUGCCCUAUAAACGAUGAACCACGAAUUACCCUGCUUUUCCUUGGAAUUCAGUUUGUAUACCGCUGUUGUCAGUUAGUUUCUUUAGAAAGCUUUCGAAAAUGAUUAAAAUCAAUGACUUCAAGUAAAGGUGCAGCUUAUGGAAAAGAUAGAGGUGGGUUACAUUUAAAAGAAUAAACAUGAAUAAGGUUUUGAAAUAUAACUUUUGAAGGUGGAUUUAAUUGUAAAAUUUAAUUAGAUUUGAUUUGAGC